CUGUGUGGGAAACCCCAACUCUAGAGAAGAGGCGAGAAUGGGCAACAGACUGGAGACGCUGCUCUCUCCCCAGCCCUGCAGAAUGGAAUACGAGCUGAUGAAAGAGAACUACCCCACACCCUCCAGUGGCAUCCAUUCAAAGCUGGACACCAUGCUCAGCAGGGAUAGUCCUUAAAAUGGAAGAAGAAGCACUUGCCAAGAAACACUUCCCACUCUGGGAGUGUCCCCCUGGGAGCUGAGCUCCGGGAGCUCGUGGACCAGCUGUCCCACACCUCCAGAGCCUUUUGCCUCCUCCAUCCGGCUCUCUGUGAGUCCCCGUCCAUCCGCUGAUGCCUAAAGCACCGACUCUCAGCCCGACCCUGACCUCCAGGAGGCCACUGUACAGCUUCUGAAGGAACUCCCGCCUGGCACUGGGGACAAAAUUCACCCCCCCCCCCAGAGGACUAUCUUUCAGAAAUUCUGGGCACAGCAGCCUGGCACCCGGCCCUGAAGGAAGCGGGUGCACUGUGUAGAUGUUUUGUCCCAUCUCGGCCUCUGGCUGAGAGAAAUGAGGAGCGGAGGUCACAGCCACAGGCAUUUGCCUGAAGUACCAGCCUCCCGCAGAGGAAGAGAAAAGGGAGUCAGCGGGGAAUGGACAAUGUUCUCCAGCCCAGCCCACUCGUGUCAGGGAAGAGGCAAGACACGCUCUGUACUCUGCAGGUGUCGCCAAGAGCGGGGGCUCGCUCUCCUCUUUGAUUCUGCAUUUUGACAAGAUCCCUGGGCGAGCUGAGUGCUCAGCCAAGGCUGAGAAGCCCUGCUCUACACCCCCACCCUGGAGAGAGGUAACUCAGUGGCACAGACCCUCCCCACUCACCAGAGUAACAGCCCCAGAAACACAACACGCAAAACAGAGCACUCAGGUGUUAACGAGGAGACGAAAACAGGAGCAAAGGAAAGUUAAGGGCACUCAAUUUUGUGACUGAUGAAAGAAAUACAACGAUAUAGGGCCAAGAUUGAUUUUCUUUUUAACGGAAAAUG
rnacentral:lncRNA from 1 species